UACGGAGGGUGCUAGCGUUGUUCGGAAUCACUGGGCGUAAAGGGCGUGUAGGCGGUCUGUUAAGUCUGAUGUGAAAUCCCCUCGCUCAACGAGGGAACUGCGUCGGAUACUGGCAGACUCGAGUACCGGAGAGGAAGGUGGAAUUCCCGGUGUAGCGGUGAAAUGCGUAGAUAUCAGGAGGAACACCGGUGGCGAAGGCGGUUCUCUGGGCCUGUACUGACGCUGAGGAACGAAAGCGUGGGGAGCGAACAGG
rnacentral:rRNA from 1 species